CCUACGGGGGGCUGCAGUGGGGAAUAUUGCACAAUGGGCGAAACCCUGAUGCAGCGACGCCGCGUGAGUGAAGAAGUAAUUCGUUAUGUAAAGCUCUAUCAGCAGGGAAGAAAAUGACGGUACCUGUGUAAGAAGCCCCGGCUAACUACGUGCCAGCAGCCGCGGUAAUACGUAGGGGGCAAGCGUUAUCCGGAUUUACUGGGUGUAAAGGGAGCGUAGACGGCAGUGCAAGUCUGGAGUGAAAGGCGGGGGCUCAACCCCCGGACUGCUCUGGAAACUGUACGGCUGGAGUGCAGGAGAGGUAAGUGGAAGUCCUAGUGUAGCGGUGAAAUGCGUAGAUAUUAGGAGGAACACCAGUGGCGAAGGCGGCUUACUGGACUGUAACUGACGUUGAGGCUCGAAAGCGUGGGGAGCAAACAGGAUUAGAUACCCUGGUAGUC
rnacentral:rRNA from 1 species